rnacentral:lncRNA from 1 species
CAUUAACACAAGAAUACAUGAAAAAAUAUAUUGAAAAGGGAGAUCAAAAUAAUCCACAAUCAAGAACACAAAAUCUACAAUCAAGAAGAAGAAAUUCAAGAAUUAAGACUAUGGAUCAAAAAGCAAAAUCAAGAUCAAUAACUCAAGAAUCGAAAGAGUCAAUAUUCAAGAUUCAAGAUCUGAAAUCAAGAUCUAGUAUUGAAGAAACAUUCUCAAUGAAUUAAGGAAUGUGGACACUUUAUAAAUUUGUCAGUGAUUUGACAUGGAGGAUCUUGACAAUAAAAAUAAUUAGGUUUUCAUGUUAUUGAGAUAUAAAGUUUCAUAAAAAUCUACCAAGUGUAUCAGAGUCAAC